rnacentral:lncRNA from 1 species
UUCAGGUUAAAGGUUUUGGUCAAGGUAGUUUUUGAUGAAGCUGAAGUCCAAUCAACUUGAAACUUAGUACACAUGUUCCCUAUAGUAUAAUCUUUCUAAUUUUAAUGCUAAAUUACAUUUUUACCCAAUUUUACGGUCCAUGGAACAUGGAAAAUGAUAGUGCGAGUGGGGCAUCCGUGUACUUUGGACACAUUCUUGUUUAAU